rnacentral:rRNA from 1 species
AUGGAUGCAGAUCUCAGCCAAUGGAUUAUGAAGCACUACGACCCCGAGAGGUCCCAAAUUGUUAUACCAGAGAGGGGGAAGAUCCCGGUAGAUGCAGCGAGCGUUCAUAGAAUAUGGGGGUUGCCAAACAGCGGCAGAAAGGUCUGUUUUGAGAAUCGUCCUGACAUCACAAAGGCCAUUUAUAGCAUCUACAACAUUACAUCCAAGAACUCACCAACCCUCACGGCAUGGUGUAAGAUGAUUGUAGAUAUGCGCGGAGCUGAUGACGACAAUUUCCUCCGUGCUUGGGUAGCAGUCGCUUUUUCUUGCUUUCUUGCACCGUCAACAAGUCUAAACAUCUCUCCAAAAAGCUUCCCUGUUGUUAUGGAUGUCAAUGGUAUAACAGAGACAAAUAUCUAUCAGUUUGUUGUUGAUCAGUUAAAGGCAGCAUUCACAGUAGCAGGUGUCAAGAAGAAUACUGUAUGCUGUUGUGUUUUUCAUCUUGUAGUAAGUGCAGACAAUCGUAACAUUUGGUUCUCUAUUAUUCUUUCUUCUUUCUUUUUCUGUUAG